rnacentral:rRNA from 1 species
AUUGAACGCUGGCGGCAGGCCUAACACAUGCAAGUCGAGCGGAGCGGCGGACGGGUGAGUAAUGCCUAGGAAUCUGCCUGGUAGUGGGGGAUAACGGCCGGAAACGGGCGCUAAUACCGCAUACUAUCAGAUGAGCCUAGGUCGGAUUAGCUAGUUGGGGGGGUAAAGGCCUACCAAGGCGACGAUCCGGAGCUGGUCUGAGGGGAUGAUCAGUCACACGGGAACGGAGCAACGCGCAAGAUUCCUACGGGAGGCAGCAGUGGGGAAUAUUGGACAAUGGGCGAAAGCCUGAGCCAGACAUGCCGCGUGUGGGAAGAAGGUUUUCGGAUUGUAAAGCACUUUAAGUUGGGAGGCGUUACCAACAGAAUAAGCACCGGCUAACUUCGUGCCAGCAGCCGCGGUAAUUC